AAUCCUCUGAACUAUAACUUUGCAGAUUCACUAAACAAAGCUUUAAUGUCCAAUGUCUUGUACACAAAGCGUGGUGAAACUGAAUAACAAAACUUUAUUGGUUUAAAAAACCAAUGAACCUAAACAAGGCUUCCAGAGUAUUACUACUAUUAUGUUGUCCAUAUUUAAUAUAAAGCUGCGAGAGCAUCAAAUGAAUUGUGGGACCGUCUCCAUCUUGCAGCCAACAGGGAUGCCUUUCUCUUUACUGUUGACACAAGGCUGUAAAGUCAUGUCUACAUGGCAAGUUAAGGUCAAGGAAGACAGAUAAGUCUGUGUCAAAGAAGACAACAAAGUCUCAAAUAAAGAAGCCUUUGUACAAAGACGUUGGGGUUUCUAGCAGAAAGGAGACAUUCCUUAGAGUACUGCAGAGUUUACGCAGGAGCCACUAAGGGCUGAAUCUGACUCGUGCACUUUUCUGUAUUCUAGAGUUUUUGGCACAUCGCCAUCAACAAUUUGAUUUCCUGGCAUAUUAAUUUUUUGUUGCAGCCUCCUGGAAAAAUCCACCACGAACAGUGCAUGAGAGUAUACUUUUUGCACAAGGCCUUGCAACUUGUCAACACAAGGCCCAUUCAAGGAUGUGGCAGGGGGUCUAUACAAGUAUAAACAUGGAAGCAUACAUGUAUCAGUUAACAAGUGAUUCUGCAUGUCUGUAUAUGUUUACUUUGCUUUCUAAAAUCUCUCAAUAAAUACAGGGAAUUUCUGUGGAGUCGUGGUUACCAUCAGGGCCACACCUGGGCAAUGAAGCAUGUCAUUCUUUAAUAAAAGUAAAGACAUUUUUUAUUGACCUCUGCCAAGGAGGUUAAAGUUUCAGACACAUUAUGUUGUCUUUAAGCCGUCUGAUUAUGAGGAGAGACAUUUCAAAGAGAGAGAAUUUAAAUUUCUCAGGAUGUGGGUUACGGAGUAAAGAAGAAAUGACAAGAUUGUUUUGAAGCCAUUGUAAACUUUGCACACUACAGGCAUACAUAAUGUUGUAAAUCCAAAGGCAGACGGAAACAUAUUUACCUACCAACUAAGUGAUGUUUUGAAGUCAAGUCAAGCUGAACAUUUCUAGUCAAUGUUUCUAGCCACAGCUGUCAGCUUGAAAAGAGGGGCCUUUAACUAUGAAGCAAUAAUACAGACCAGAGCCAAUACAAAUAUUCAAGCUUUCAGUCUUGGAGCAACAACAUCCUUUUUAAUCAGGAUGUGAGGCAGGAAACCCCCCCUCCUAAUGUUUCAAACGGGAUUCAAAAUUUAAAUUCUGAAUAACUUUAUUCAUAACUUUUGAAAAAAACAAAAACAAUUCAAACUUGCUCUUUUUUAUUCUUCAUUUAAAUAAAACUCACAAUUCAAAAUAGAUCCUUUAGUCCAAAGGGCCUCACAGGAAAUGGGGACCAGAUUAGCUUCCUCCAUUCUUGAUGCCUUCUUCCCAAAUAGCCAUCUCUAAUACCAAAUAGAGAUGGGAAUGUGUUGAUGAAGCCAUUGUUCUUGUCCCUGUAGGCGAUUCCUACUAAGUAUUGUUUGAAGCUUCACUACUCAGAAUAACCUGCAGUCAUUAGAGGCGUUGCCCCACCUUGGUAGACUUAAGUUUCUUUGGGAGCCAAAGAAAAGCAGCAAAGACCAGAGAUCACAAACAAACACCUUUAUAAUAUUAUUAAUAUUAUUAUUAUUCUCACCUCACUCUCAUUUUGCCUGAUUAAAUCAAUACAUUUAGUGUUGAAUCUCUUCAAACUCUUUAGACCCAGAUUUGUCUGAUUUUGUUCGUUUUGUGUGUUUUUUUUUAACCCAUGCUUCGUGUGUAGGUGCUUGACAUCACAGAUGUUUACAAAACGAAGCAAGACGAUGGAAAAAAAAAUCCACCACACUACACAGGUCAGGAAAAGUGUUAUAAUUUUUUAAGCAUCACUUCAGCUUUUUUGUUUUUUAAUGAAUGGCUGUCUGAUAUUUCUAAGCUUUCUAAUCAUAUAAACAGACUGAGACUUUAAGUCUGAACGUUUUUGUUCAACCAUAGAUCACUUCGGUGACAGACUCAGAGCAGCAUAACUUUGGAUGGCGCAGACAAUACCUAAUUUAUUAUCAUGGCUGAAAUUGAAUCCUGAUAUAAAUUUCAUUUUCUCCUGAGCCUGGUUCUUCAAUGUACUUUUAAACCUAGGAUCCUCAAACUGAUGGAGAGAUGGAGUGGGAACCCCCUCCUAUAUAAAAAAGACCUCUACUAUAGUUUUGUUCAAAUAGUAGACCCAUUUUCUUUGCAAUUCCAGAUGAAACAAGUUUUAAGCAUGGCUUCGUGGGGAUUUAAUCAGAAUAUAAAAAAAUAAUUCAUGUUAAAGAGUAUCAUAAACUACCUGCCUGUUUAGUAUAAGCAAACAUUUUUAAUGCACAUAAUACAUUCAUCUGUGUCAAUGCUGAAGCUGAAAACAGAGAAGACCCACCUGCACUGAUCCAGGGCCAGUUUAAACAGAUCUUUUAAUGACUCUUCUAACCAAUGGGUAUGACGUUUUGUCCAAGCUGUUAUCCUUUCCCAGGCUAUUAGAGCUGACCUAUUGACUUAGACAACAAUAUAAUAUAUAAUAUAAAAUACACAUCCACUUACUGAAAAAAAUAUUGUGUUAUAAAAUAUAUAUAUUUUUAAAUGAGUUGAGCUUCCACGAUUAAAUACCAUGUGGUUGUUUUAUUCAGUUUUCAUUUCUAUUGUUAUAUUGAAUAAUGCAAGGACUAAAGAUUUACCUAUAGGGUAUGAAGCAAACUUCUCAAAUGUGAGAAUUGUUUAAAAUAAGGUCAUGUUUUGUUCCCAAAAAAGUGUCUGGAACACGCCUCAAAAGCAAAACAGAAACUCAUGAUGGCAACAUCCCCUCCAGUCAGAUCAGGUUUAAGAGAUAGACAUACUUAGACAAGCUCAAUUACUCAACUGGAGCUAUGGCCUCUUUUUUUUCCCUUAAACUCGACACUGCACCUGAGAUGGGAAGAUAUCAGAGGGCCUUUUUUUCCAACCUGAAUUCCUGGGUCUCUUUCCACUGGAGACUCCAUACAAAGCCAGUGGAUCAUGGAAAGCCAUAAAUGUGGUGGAUGACUGUCACCAUGCGCAAACAAAGAAGACAGAACAGUUGAAUGAGUAACCACAUACGCUCACUUGUUCCACGCUGUGUUCUCAGUGGAUGUAUACACACCGCUGAAUGGAGAACAGCGGUUUUAUUAUAAGUGUGCGGUUAAAACAAGUGUUUUCAAUAAUUAAUAUCUAUCACAUACAGCUGCAUUCUGAUGGAGGUGCAAACAAAAGGUUGGCUGUAUUCUGAUUAUUUGGAGUAAAAACAAAAAGGUGUCUGCGCUGCUGGGUUCCGUCCUGAUGACACACGGCUGGUCCAGGACGUGUCUGCUGAAAGGUACAAAUCUGAUGUAGCAGUGUAGCCAGAUAACCUGCUCCUCACAGAAGUGCUAUUGUCCCAGAGUGAAACCAAAAUCCUUUCCCUGGCCUGCAGCUCUCUGAAGUCUCUACCACUCAGACAUGGUGCACUUUGUCAAAGCUGGAAAGGAGCGUGGUGAGAAAUCAUCCUGCUGCUCCCACGGCCUGAACCAAGAAACCAUAUUUCCAACAAUGGCUGAGGCAGAUGGAUGUCUGGGAAGGUCAUCAGAGGACCAUCAAGCCUCAACAACAGCAGUAGUAGCACCAGAGCCACUCUGGACCUGAAAACGCAGACUGGAGAUUCUAGAAUUACACAGGAUCAUAACCUGUAUUUCACUACUGACAUCAAUCCGAGCCCAGUGAGUGGGCUGUAAUGAAAAUAAAAGGCACAGUUUAGUGAAAGUGAUGAAAAAAAGUAUACGACUGAUGAGGGAAACUGGCUUGUUAGAUCCCAACACAAGGCAGAAGGAAAAUCACUCACUCAAAAUGCUGAAAAAGCACCGUAGGAGUAAACUUUAGUCAUGAUUCAGCUCUCAGGUUUACCAGUGAGCAAACCCAGUCGACUCCAGAAAUGAUGCUGGACUUUAUCGGCUAUACUUUGAAUUGUAACUUUAACUUCAGUCUGUCACGAACCUGCAUAAAGCAUCGAAUAAGAGAAAGCAUAUUGAUAUAAGCGGGUUACUUUGGGCUGUGUUAGCCUCAUAUCAGGGAUUAAGGAUUAAGCCAGCGACAAGACCCUGAGAUUACUUUGAUCGUUCACAUCUCACAGUCUGAUUAAAUUGUCCAACUACGAGUCAAAAAAACCUUAGAAAUAUUUUAGUGAGCUGUAAAAUUCUGAAUGAUUACCUGUUUUUGGUGCAUCUCAAAUCACACAGGAAAACCAGGUGGUUCAGAAACCACUUUGGCAUUUUCUCCUGGAUAAAUCACCACUGUCACUACUGGUGUUUGGCUACAGGGUGAAGCUGUAGGCAUUAUUUUCCAUCACUCCACAGAUAAUAACAGCUAUUAAAAAGGAGGAUGCCAGCAGACGGCACGGAGAGCUUCUCUAUUAUUCAGUGAGUCCUGUCUGACUCCCACAGAGCUGUCACACCUUGGACGGACUGUCGCCGAGCCUCGGACAGAGCGCUUAUCAAAAUGUGUUUGCUGAAAAGGCUGUAUUGUAUUGAUGAUACAAGUUAGAGUCCAUGUGUUUAGUUCUAAUUUUUUUUUUUUGGUUUUUCUAAUUUGAAUAUUGGGAUUUCUCAUGCAAAUUGUCCCCCAAGGCAUUCAUUUAGUGCAGAAACCGAGAGGUUCCUGGGCCUGAGCUCAUCUGUAACGAUCUGGAAGGCAAGAAAAGUUGAGACCAAGCUUUUUUUUUUUUACACAACAUCAGGCACCAUUGAAACUAUUAUCAGAAGACAAUCACAGAACCAUAAACAUACGUCCUGACGACAGACAGUAUGUGUUCUGCAACUUAAGUCAACAUUUUAAGCAAAAUCAUGACACUGGAAAAAGAGAGAGGAUUGGCUGGUGACACCAAAGAAAGGCAUCUGGACCCGUCUGUGUGAUUCUUCCCUCUAAAGAAAAGGUCUGAGAACUUUCCACUGUACAGUAUAACAUACUGUUGUGGUGCAAAAUAAUAAAACAGUUAAAAUAAUAAGAUAUUUGCCUGGAGUUCAAAAAAAGGUGACCUAGCCCUGUUUCAGGCUAAUAUAAUAAAACAUUUUAUUGUAACUUAACUCAUGCUUAAUGAGAAAAAAGGGAAAGUGUUGUCUCUUUGUACAGAAAAGAUUUAAACUUUCUCGACAAUAGGUCCACAUGGAGGACGGAACAUCCACCAAAACGCUCUCUUUUUCGGUCUGUAAACCCACCGUCCUCACAUCCAUUUCCUCAGUGUCGCUGACAGAAUGAUUCAGUUUGACAUCUUGUUCGAAUCAUCUUUAACUAGUGUAGACACUGUGUGCUAGAAAAGCAGACCCUACCACAAAGAAACAUCUGUCUGAGCCCCUGGCCUAAAGACAGACACAAAUUCAACAACUAAACCAGUCCGACCAUAUGGCAGAGCUCAUUCCAGAUUUUUGCAGGAAAUUUCAAAUUGAUGCAGUCUGAAAAAUUGUACAGUAAUUAAACUGGGCUGCACUGUGCAUACAAUACAGCUGCUCAAUUCUAAACCUCUCUGGACUGGAUAAAAAUCCCAGAAUCCUGGUUUUACUGUGGGAGCCUCGCUGCUGCGCGCCGUCUAGUUUGUUUAGAGGCCCAGAAAUAUUUAGGGACUCUGUCACAAACACUUUGGAUUUGUUAUGGUCAUCUGAAAACCGGUGCUGGCUGUUAUUUUCUGCACAACACACCGAGGACGCAACUGCGUGGUGCACGUGUGCUGCUUGAGAUGAACACACUGUGCCCGUGAGCAGGAACACUGGUGUAACGAGAAAUCGACGCUAAUGAUUCAUGAGAAUAGGAAGUACAAAAUCAUUAGGGAGCAAAGAGAUGUGGUCACUUUCCCUGACGACAGGCUGCCUUCAUGAUGUAUGACUCACUUCAGAUUAAGGUUGAGUUCAGUUCACUUUUUUCCCACAUUUAUUCAUACUCUCACAUUUUAAUUAAGUGGAAGGAUUUGGGUCCGAUCUUUCUUUUUAUAUAAGUGUAAAUUGUACAAAAGGUAUAAAAAUGAAAUCCUGAAAAAAAAACAGCUUUAAAUACAGAAAAAAAAAAUACCGGAAUUUGGAUUAAAAUAUUUCCUCAGUCAGGAAAUGUUCUGAGAGCUUAAUGAUAGCUUACGUGUAAGUAAGGCUUAAAGUCGGCAAAAAAAGAAACAAAAUAAAAAUACAAGUUUGAUGACGAGGCAGAGAUUCACAAACAUUUAAUUCUGUGCUGCACUGAUCUCUGAAACCUCUGGAAACUGAGCUACAGAAAACAGACAUCAGGCCUAAUUUUAAAAGAAAAAGUAAAAGGCCACACAAAAGUAUUACUGUAUGACAACAGUUCCUGGGUUAAACGUCUUGGGACGUCCCAUGAUCAGAGACUGUUGCAUUUAAAAGCUGUUAAAACAGUACAAAUGUUUCAGCCAAAACAAUAUUUACUUUACACACCGAGAGUCAGACGACCUUCAGAGAAGCCCUGAAACGAGUAAGUUACAGGAACCGCUUGUUUUCAUACUUUCCCCAGAACGUUUAUGAAACACUGCAGAAUCUCUGCUUUACUUCACUGCUGCAUGUUCAGCUGAGUGACUGGCCCUGAUGGAAUUUUAAUCUUGUUUCUCAUAUUGCACCAAAAUCUGUACUGAUCUUUGACACGGUUGACGCUACACAGAUUCAAAUUAUGUUUGCAAAGUAAACUUUACAGAACUUUCAAACUUCUAAAGAUGGAAACGACCUGGAUGACUGAAAACAUUCACUGAAACCAGGUCAGGAUGCUCAGAAUACGUCACUGAUGCAAACUUAUAAGAGAAGGAGUCCAGGUGAACUUCUAAGGUGACUGCACAGCCUAGAUUUACUUCUAUUUUCGCCUGCAAACACAGCCCAAAGGGAGAUCAUGAAUAAUAUUUUGAGGAGUUGAAACCACUUCAAGGACAGAGGACAUAAAGUCACAGUCAACGUCUUUUCACCAUCACCAUCAUCUCUGUGGUGCAUGCAGGCUCACAGUGCACUCACAUUAACCGACUAAUCGACUAAAUUUCGCAACACAUUCAACCCAUAGCAUGUUUGACUAGACUGGAGCCUCUCUGUGGCUUCUGUCAGGUCUCAAAUCCGUGAGAAACUUUUCUCCAAGGUUGGAUUGAGUUUCUCUGCGGCUUUGGUGAGACGCCCGUGAUUUGAGUGAGACGCGCGUUAACAAACAAAACGAACUAACAAAAACAAAAAGGACAAACACAGUGCAGGGAGAAAAUGCCGUUUCCCCACUGCAGCCCAGUCAUGUAUAUGUAGUAAUAGCUGCCUGACAUACCUUUCUUUUCCGCCAGACCGCAGGAGCUGAGGCAGAGCAGAGAGUUAUCUGCCGCACUUCCAGCUCAGCCUAGGAGACGAAUAACUCCGGCUGCUGUGACGUCACGAAGAGGGAGGACAGAUGCGUCUCUCCAAUAACCCAGGUUUGGUGUCACGGAUGUACGGAGGCAGAGUGGACAAAAUGGACAUGUCCCACACUGUGAUGAAGUGCUGGACUAAUCUGAGCUGAAACUACAGUAAUUGGAUGCUAAGAUGUGUUUGUUGUCCGUGGAUCAGACUGUGUGGGGUCUGCAGAGAUAGAAAUCAUUUUUCUCACUGGUGUUUAUUUCAUUACUACAGCUUAAUGGCUGGGGGAAUCAUAAUUGGUUGGACUGUUGGAGGAAGGAAUUAUUGUAUUGGGUGAAAUUAUGACCAUUUUUUUCAAUAAGAAUGACCUAAUGUGGGGCUAAGGUUUCACAUGGAGCAGCCACAAAGUGAACAUAACGCUGUGGAAGUGAUGUAACUGCCUGUUUAACUGCUCCACCACUUAGAUACACAGUCAUGAGGAGAAGAUGAUGUUCCUCAUGAAGAAACUAACAUUUUAAACGUCAAAGUCUCAUGGAGUGAAUCAAGAUGAAUGUUUUGAUGAAUGUGCCAAUCAUAUUCUCCAUAUGCCCUGCCUGCUCCUCU